GGUGUUGUGCCAGAGUGGUUAAUGGGUAUGACUCGAAUGCCUUCAAAGGAUUAAGAUAUCAUAUGGUUUCGGCCGCGUAGGUUCAAAUCCUGCCAACAUCG